GACGAACCGUGCGAACGUUAUUCGGAAUCACUGGGCUUAAAGCGCGUGUAGGCGGGCCGCCCCGUCGGCUGCUGAAAUCCCCCGGCUCAACCGGGGAACGGGCACCGAUACGAGCGGCCUGGAGGGGGGGUAGGGGGGGUCUGGAACUUCCGGUGGAGCGGUGAAAUGCGUUGAGAUCGGAAGGAACGCCCGUGGCGAAAGCGGCGCACUGGACCACAACUGACGCUGAGGCGCGAAAGCUAGGGGAGCAAACAGG
rnacentral:rRNA from 1 species